UUAAGUUCAGCGGGUAGUCCUGACUGAUUUGAGGUCUAAAGCUUAAAUUGCUUUAAAAGCGCAUUAGAAGCACCUCUUACAUUUGAAGAAAACGUCCUUAGCGAAAUAAUUAUUACGCCAAGUCAAACCGUUUAUUUCAAUAGGGUUGCUCGUGUAUUUCAGCUGAGCCGGCAAUUACGCCGGCAGACAGCCAUAAUCCA
rnacentral:misc_RNA from 1 species